UACGUAGGGUCCGAGCGUUGUCCGGAAUUACUGGGCGUAAAGAGCUCGUAGGUGGUUUGUCGCGUUGUUCGUGAAAACUCACAGCUCAACUGUGGGCGUGCGGGCGGAUACGGGCAGACUAGAGUACUGCAGGGGAGACUGGAAUUCCUGGUGUAGCGGUGGAAUGCGCAGAUAUCAGGAGGAACACCGGUGGCGAAGGCGGGUCUCUGGGCAGUAACUGACGCUGGAGGAGCGAAAGCGUGGGGAGCGAACAGG
rnacentral:rRNA from 1 species